rnacentral:rRNA from 1 species
AACGAACGCUGGCGGCAUGCCUAACACAUGCAAGUCGAACGAGACCUUCGGGUCUAGUGGCGCACGGGUGCGUAACGCGUGGGAAUCUGCCCUCUGGUUCGGAAUAACUCAGGGAAACUUGAGCUAAUACCGGAUAAUGACUUCGGUCCAAAGAUUUAUCGCCAGAGGAUGAGCCCGCGUCGGAUUAGCUAGUUGGUGAGGUAAAAGCUCACCAAGGCGACGAUCCGUAGCUGGUCUGAGAGGAUGAUCAGCCACACUGGGACUGAGACACGGCCCAGACUCCUACGGGAGGCAGCAGUGGGGAAUAUUGGACAAUGGGCGAAAGCCUGACGCAGCCAUGCCGCGUGGAUGAUGAAGGUCUUAGGAUUGUAAAAUCCUUUCACCGGUGAAGAUAAUGACUGUAGCCGGAGAAGAAGCCCCGGCUAACUUCGUGCCAGCAGCCGCCGUAAUAC